CACGUAGGGUGCGAGCGUUGUCCGGAAUUAUUGGGCGUAAAGAGCUCGUAGGCGGUGUGUCGCGUCGGCCGUGAAAACCUGCAGCUUAACUGUGGGCGUGCGGUCGAUACGGGCAUCACUGGAGUUCGGCAGGGGAGACUGGAAUUCCUGGUGUAGCGGUGAAAUGCGCAGAUAUCAGGAGGAACACCGGUGGCGAAGGCGGGUCUCUGGGCCUUACCUGACGCUCAGGUGCGAAAGCUAGGGGAGCGAACAGG
rnacentral:rRNA from 1 species